rnacentral:lncRNA from 1 species
GUCGGACACUACAGUAAAAAUGAACAAUAAUCAAGCGUUCAAGAGUUGGAAAUGCAAACUGUGCUCGACUCCUGCGAUUCGGAAGCGUGAUUGACAAGUUGUGUGUAAUGUGCUGCGGUCAUUCUCUGUCCAAUGAUUUUGCUGGUGAUACUUCGGAGUUUUUAAUUUAAUUUAAUUUAAUGUUUUAUCAUAUUCUUUUUAUUUACAAGUCACAAAGAAUGAGAAAACAGAUAACCGUAUCAAAAUUGUUCCAGAGCGCAUUGAAAGGCGUCUGAUACAGCAGUCUAACAAGCCGAAACUCAACAGUAGUCUUGAAAAAAAUGGUGGUAAUUUUCAGCACCAAGUUUCCAAGGCUGAACAUUAUGUAUAUAAACCUUGCGGACCCAUGCUCUAAACAACGCUACAACUCACCUUUUUCCUCUUCAACGCAAAACAAAGUUUCUGAAUAUAUUCUCAUUAUAUGUUUUUGGAAUGAGUAUGAGAACCUGGAGAUUAAUCAGGGGUAGGCAUCCAGAAAAAGAACUCCUUGCUCACAUGAAAACUCUCUGCAUGUGAAAGGUCUGCAUUCAAUGAAUGCUCAUUUUGUGCUUCUGUGGGAGCCACCGAAGGUCCUUGCAAAAAAGCAUAAGUUACUGGCCCAUAUUAUUUUCUAGUCCCAACACAAAUGGUACACUCGAGAGUAGAUACUGGACAUUUACACUGUACUGAGUGCCUAAAAUUGAUAUUUGUUUUCCGACUUUUGAAGCGUACAAAAUUAUGUGCUCGAAUUCCAGAUUGAACGGUUCAUUCUAGAAGAGCACGUGCAAUCGGUACUUGUUGCGGAGCAUACGCGGGAGCCUUGCUUUCAUCCUUUCAUGCUUUCGCAGACAAAUCCGGGGGUUUUGUUGCCUCGGCACCUGCAGAGCAAUAGCUGGAGGGGUCGCUUGGCUUGCGCUGCUGUGCGGCCUCCUUUUAGGAGGGAUCACAGCAGCAUGUGAUGGAUAAAAGGAAUUUGAGUAGUUAAGUUCGUCACGAGGUUUUGCCACCGCAGAGAGGAUUCAGGGAUGUGGGCGAACCAACCUCACGGCCACCCACAAAAUAGUACACGGGAUGAAAGGGGAUGAAGUCCCCAUCUACGUCGAGUUUUUAUCUCUCUCUUGCUGCUGCUACUUCUACUUCUCCUUCCUCCAAUUCUCACUUCUCUAUUUUCAGAAGAGAACAAGGAUACGAGUACAGCUCAGUGAGACUGCAAUGCCGGAGAAACAUAGUGUUGACAAAACGUACCUACCACAAGAGGAAUCGAUGGAGCGACAAACGCAAGUUUCAAGGAAGAGCGAUGUGAUUUGGGGUGCAAAAUACAGGAUGCGAAUAGAAUAAAAGGAUGGCAAGCAAAGGGGAUGAUUCCCCACCAGCUGUUUCUGUUCUCACGAGAGGAAGCACGCAGGGGAAUGGAAUGUAGGCUGGGGGGAUUGGAUUCGCACAGCCCUCCUCCAUCUUCUCCUCCUCCUCCUCGGUGCGAGCGCAGAAAUGUGAGUGAGAGAGAGAGAGACCCAGUGGAUGGGAAUGUGCAACCGCGGAGCUGGGCCCCC